CGUAACAAGGUCUCCGUUGGUGAACCAGCGGAGGGAUCAUUACCGAGUUUACAACUCCCAAACCCCUGUGAACAUACCACUUGUUGCCUCGGCGGAUCAGCCCGCUCCCGGUAAAACGGGACGGCCCGCCAGAGGACCCCUAAAACUCUGUUUCUAUAUGUAACUUCUGAGUAAAACCAUAAAUAAAUCAAAACUUUCAACAACGGAUCUCUUGGUUCUGGCAUCGAUGAAGAACGCAGCAAAAUGCGAUAAGUAAUGUGAAUUGCAGAAUUCAGUGAAUCAUCGAAUCUUUGAACGCACAUUGCGCCCGCCAGUAUUCUGGCGGGCAUGCCUGUUCGAGCGUCAUUUCAACCCUCAAGCACAGCUUGGUGUUGGGACUCGCGUUAAUUCGCGUUCCUCAAAUUGAUUGGCGGUCACGUCGAGCUUCCAUAGCGUAGUAGUAAAACCCUCGUUACUGGUAAUCGUCGCGGCCACGCCGUUAAACCCCAACUUCUGAAUGUUGACCUCGGAUCAGGUAGGAAUACCCGCUGAACUUAAGCAUAUCAAU
rnacentral:rRNA from 1 species